rnacentral:lncRNA from 1 species
AUCUUCGUUCUCAACAAGCCGUGAGUAAACUGAGGAUUUCCCGGCUGAAAGGACUCAGUGUCUGCCUGUCCCCGGCCCAGAAAUGAAAGCGAGUUUCAGCCGAUCCUCAUUGUGGGGCCUGCUGAAAAAGCAGCCCGGGUCGCCCCGGCCAGCCCCGGCGUCCUGAAUCGGAGCCCUGUGCGCGCCAGGCCGGGCCGCGCGCCCGGGUUGCAGGAUGGCGUGCCCAGGCCAGCCCAUCUGCGGCCGCGGGCCGGCGGGGAGGAAGCGUCCCUGGGGAUGAAUGGGGCUUUGUUCGUAGGCAGCCGCGGCUACCCUCUGCAGGCCCGGCCCGCACAACAGAGGCUGUAUGCGAGAGGAAUGGAAAUGAGCCUCAGGCCCUGCCGAAGGAGCCCCAUCCCCUUCCCCGCGCGGGGCUGAGGAAUGCUGGCCAGCCGGAAAGGAACCCUCGCUGGGAACGCCGCUCUCGCGCCUCUGAAACCCCAUUGAGAAGAACCCUUUGAUGCAAUUAAAGCGCAUUUCAUUGCAGGCCUGGGAGGAGGGAACGACCGGCAAGCUUUUUUCUGUCUCGGACGUGUGUAUGCACCUUUGUGGGCCGGGUUACUUAGAGACCAGGCGGGAACUUGAGCUCCCUCUCUCGCAGACGUUCUGUAACAUCAGAAAAGCGUACCCAUAAACAGAUUGGUUUUCACCAGGGGUGGAACUCAAUUUGGACACGAUCCAGGCUGACCUGCAGGCCGGGGUUCCUACUUUGAAAGGCUCUUUGGUGCGCCUUACACCCACCUUCCCUGCUGUAAAGGUUUAGGCGGAAAAGAAAUUGCGUUUGCAGGAGGAAGUUGUUUCUGAGGUUACUGCUCAGCAUUUUCCAUUUUCUCAGUGGUGGGGUGGGCCGUGUCGCAUAUCCAGAAGUGAUGUCACAGCCAGACCUGCAAAAUGAUGUAACCUGCAAGUGUUGAAGGACGACGAUGGGACAGCUAUUUUGAUACUCGUAUUAUUUUAUAACAUUUCCCUGCUUUUUCCAUUGAGACAACUGUGUGACCUCAGAAAAUCCACAUAGCCUCUCUGAACUUAGUAUUUUUGUGUGUGUGUUAAAAUGAGUAUCACAAAGCCGGAGAACGAAUGUGAUGAAGUUCUGGGUGCUUGUGGAAUUCUUUCUAAGUUGGAGGUGGACACUUUAUCUACCUGCACAGGUGGAAGAUAUGUGGGUCUGGAACUCCGUGUAUGCCUCCUUGAGAACAUGAACCUUUAAACAACAACAACAACAAUAACAACACGAAGACAAAGUCCUGUCUGCUCUCCCAGGCUAGAGUGCAGCGUGCAAUCGUGCAAUCGCAGCCUACAGUAAGAAGCCAGAAACGUGAAGAGAAGACCUCGCCUUGAUUUGCCAGAUGACCCCUGGCCUUUUUAGUCAAGUUCCUGGAGAAGUUAGGGUGGAGACUUAUUUGUCCUGUGUUUGGGGCAAUAAAAGGGGAGGGGCCGCCUCCUCCAGCCUGUUCUAAAAAGCCAAAAAGCAAGGCUAUUUACUCAGACCUGGGCUACUAAGUGCUGGGGUGGCCCAUGUUGACUUAAAUGAGCCCUUGCAGUUAGGUGGGGCUCUCUGGAGCUGUUAGUCAUGUGAGGUUGCCAGGGCAACUUAAUGUCUUAUGAGUUGGAAUGCUUCAAGAAGUACAAAGAGGAGACUGCAAGAGUGCAUUACAACUUACAGUCAUAUGUUCAAUAACAUGUCAUCUUUCCUAAUGGGGCUUUUAUUUUUAUUUUAUUUUGUGGGAUUGAAAGAUCAGAAGCCGGAAAUUAUCUGGAGAGGAUAAAGAAAAGGAAAAAUUAAAGGAGGGGGCUAUUUCUGUUCCUUAUGUGGGCAGCGAUUAAACAAGGAGAACAUCUGGUCCUGGAGCGGGUCUCUGCAGCACUGCUUUUAAUUACCCCGUCAUUUGGUCUCAUGCUAAAUUAGUGACUGUGGGAGCAGCUUAGAUCUCCAAACUGACAGCCCCGAAGAGCUCAACUCAGCCUGCCACAUAGUCAGAGGGGAAACACGGAGCUUCCGGUUUCAUAUUUAAACCAGGGAUUGACUCAUAAUUGUAGCUGUCAGGAGGGUGAUGGAGACAUUAUGUAAUCUGGUUCUUAUGGCGAUGUGUGUUUAAGGUUUCUGCUCUGUAAAUUCCAGAGGAAAUUUUGUGUCCAUUGAGGGAGAGCUUGCUGGCUGCUCUGUGGUGUGCCCUGCAGGGUAAUUACAGUGCUAUUAAAGGUUCCUAAAUCUG